GGGCAAAGAGCGGUAGUCAUCGCUCGUCCACGCUUGCUGUAUUGCCUUCACACGGCAGGGGUCACUGGUUCGAUCCCAGUAUCGCCCACCA
rnacentral:tRNA from 1 species